UCAGAAUCAGCUUCAAAUUGAUAGAGAAUGAUAUCAGAUCAUGAUAGUGUGGUCGAGUAGACCAAUCUAGGCAUGGUUCAGUUUUACUUCAAUUUCAAUGACUCCACAACAGACAACUAACAACGAGGGCAUUGAGUUUAUCCGGUGAACCAAAAUGCUUACAAGGCUAUCUCAUCAUUAUCCCCUAUGCAUAUGCAAUAAUCCUAAAUAAAACACUCUAGACUCGAUCCUAAAUGUAUUGCAACUACAUGAACACUGUUUUUGUGAAAUCAUUUUCUGAAAUUUUUCAAAUUUUUUUUUUUGGUUUUUCUAUGCCUUAGAUGAAUGCGGACUCAAGAAUAUAUACAAUGCAACACACACUUCCUGAGCCCUCCCCCAAACUUAAAUCACACAGUCCACUCUGACUAAACUUGGAAGAGAAUACUCAGGACAAAACAAAUCACAGAAAUAAAAUAAAAACAAAUCACAAGAGAUGAUAUAAUACAAUGGUGAAGUUAGGCGCUUACCUCAGACGAAGAAUAAACGGAGUUGGUCGUGAAUGGCUGUCUGUGAUUGCUCCCAGGCCAUAGACGAGUCGCCAUAUUCUGUAUUAGCUCCAGCAUGUGGGUACUCGACCUCAUCAGCUCUCUGGCAGCCAGCACCGCUCUGAGGAUACUCGACCUCUCUCCUUCUGCUGCGCCAACACCGCGGUCGAGUGAUCUCCUCGAGUGAAUAAGGUGUGAUCUGCUGCUAGAGCGAACAAGUGUAGCCUUCUUUCUCCUUUUGUGUUUUCGGGACUCGAAUGACGAAUAUCUACCAGGGACAUGUGAAACUCUCUUCUCACUAGGCUCAGGCCUGUACUGACUUGGCUCAGGCUCUUCAAUGGCAUGUCCAGAGGAGGUUUUCCAUGUGGAAUAGCUGUAGUGGAAUAACUGCCUGUGAGCAACUUAUAUAUCAAAAACUUAUAUAGCUGUAGCUCACCUUAUAUAUCAAAAACUUGAUAGUCUUGAAGCACUUGGCGAGUAACUUAUCCUGUUUCUUGCACCACUUCUGCAGCUUGCUGUUGUUCCUGUGAGCUUCACUCAUACUCUUGCUCUCCCUCGCUGGAGGUACAUGCUCACUAAAAUGAUACAUGCUAGUAUCAAACUCCACUUCUCUGUCUUCAUCCAUCCCAUCCUCAGUAGCUUCUUCUAUAAGAACAUCCUCAGCUUGCACGUUCUCGUAGUAGAGGUUCUCAAGUUCAGGCCUAAAAUCAAUGUUAUCUUCCUCUAUUAUGCGUGUAACCUCAGGACUGGGGAGAAGGAUGCUGGCUUUCUUAUCUAUAGAGUGCUCAAACCUGAAACGAGGCAUGUCGCCUACCGUUGCGAACUCCAGGAUUUCGCUGUGAUGCAGGUGCUUGAUAUCCAUUGCCCGUGGCUCAAGUCCAUCAGAUGUGAUUGGGACUUCACAUGCAAUCAGAAUUAGUGUCACAACACCUCCAACGCAAAGAGCGCCUCGUGCUCUCUUGUGGUUAUUGCUGACAGCCCAGCUCUUGUAUCCACAUAGGUGGAUCAGAAGAAGUAUAGAGAGAGGUGUGUCAUUGGUUUCACCUUGAAGAGACAUAUUGUUCUUAGUUUGGCGGAGAGUGCCUUUGAGAGCCAUAGCGAUCAUCUCCAUAUCAGAAUUGGUAACAGUCCCUGUGAUCUCUCGGAAGUAGAGGACAUUGGCUAUAGAACGCUGGAAAUACCUGAUGACCCGACUGCGUAUUUGAUUGCUCUUGGAUCUAGAAGAAUUCAAUGGUACGAAGCUGCCAAUAGUGACCCAUAAGUCCUUCAACUCUUCUCUGUCAAACUUGGGACAAUACCCGUUCCAUUGGGGAAACCAAACAAUCCUUCCAAGCGCUUGAUUGAUAGAGCCUAUAAUCCUGACCAUACACAGAGAAUCGCAAGAAUCCCAAUCCUUCGCAUUCCUAAUCAUCAGAGGUCAUACCUUGGUAAAGCUCCACUUCAAGUGUGGAAAGGAACUUAAUCGUUUCUUCCUCAUAGGCUACAUAUGGGUAAGCCAUCAGAGUGUCCAGGUGACAACUCUUGUACAGGUGUUGAACAUCCUCCAGUAAUCCAAGCUGUGCCAGCGUAGUCGAGCAAGGAUAUCUUGUGCUACAGAACUCAUUCUGCAUGAAGAGCCUGAUAUACUCCUCAGCAGGCAAUAUAUCAGGUUUGUGCAGAAGUUUGGUGGCUCUACGAGUAUGCUCAGGCAUAUACUCGUCUUCCAGAUCCUCAUUUAUCAGCUCAUACCUCUUUGUCAUUGCUCUCUUCCCUCGAGCUAUCUCAGCUUUUCUCCUGAAGUUAUCAUAUUCUCUCUGUUCUCUUUCUGGCCUUGAAGACGUUGACUCUAUCUCAUCCAUGUUAUAGUCAGGAUCAAUUGAAGAACUGCCACUAUAGUUACUCAUGAUUCUCCUGCGAAAGAUUGAGAACUCAAAACUCAAAUGUUAAUAGGUUAGUCUCAAUGAUACCAGGCAAUGAAAUGGACCUAAUUGGUCGAGUAUAAUCUUGUACUCGAGUAAACUGAACUGUUCCCGAGUUCUUCUUUAACGAUUUGAAUUGAGUAGAACAGAAAUCGACGGUCGAGUAUAUCUGUUGAGGUCGAGUUCAGCUGGUGAAAUCAAGUGGACGAGUAAACUGUUAGUUGACGCUGAACAAGAUUUACAGGGACGGAACCACGAAUCGAUGGUCGAGUAGAUGGUGCACUUGGUUACGGUUGUGAGGUGGUCGAGUCCUGUUGAUGUACUCGAGUAGUUCUUGAGGCUUUGACGGUGAACGAGAUGGGGAACUCGAAUUGGGAACUCGACUACAGAAUUCGAUUGUGGCACUCGACUGCAGCGGCGUAGAGGUGGUCGAGUACGGCGAGUUGUGCUCAGGUGUCUUUGCUCUUCCCGGUCGAGUGUUGUGGCGAGAACGAAGUGACGGUGAACGGUAGAGUGAAUUGGUCGAGUAUGGCGACGAAAUCGAGUGAAAUGGUCUGAAUCGAGUAACUCUUUGGGCAAGUGAGAGAUGGCGAUUUGUGUUGAAGUAGAGAAAUAGGAGUGUCGGUGGAGAGAUGAAGAGAGAUGGGUCGAGUAGAUUUUACUUUUGGGGAGAGUGAGGGCGAAUUCAAAAGGUGUGGUAGAGAAUGAUUCUGUGAUUCUCUCUCCAUCUUAUCUUCAGGAACAAAACGCGUGUGGUCCAUGCCCUGUUGUUUUGUCUUUAAGCUUAGUUCCUGUUGACUGGGAAAACCUCAGGAGAACUUGGAAUCUUCUGUAAGUCUCUGUUAGUCGAGUAUAUGGUUGAAUAUAAAGGAUCUGAAUCAUCAAUUUCACUCGACUACAGAUUCUCAUCAGCACGUGGCCAAUUAGAUUAAGUGACAAAUGAAACCUUGU
rnacentral:sRNA from 1 species